rnacentral:tRNA from 1 species
UCGAAGUAAAGGGUCUUCCUUUGUGGUGAUAAAUUGCCUACUUAACUCAGUGGUUAGAGUAUUGCUUUCAUAC